UACGGAGGAUCCAAGCGUUAUCCGGAAUCAUUGGGUUUAAAGGGUCCGUAGGCGGUUUGGUAAGUCAGUGGUGAAAGCCCAUCGCUCAACGGUGGAACGGCCAUUGAUACUGCCAGACUUGAAUUAUUAGGAAGUAACUAGAAUAUGUAGUGUAGCGGUGAAAUGCUUAGAGAUUACAUGGAAUACCAAUUGCGAAGGCAGGUUACUACUAAUGGAUUGACGCUAAUGGACGAAAGCGUGGGUAGCGAGCAGG
rnacentral:rRNA from 1 species